rnacentral:rRNA from 1 species
AGUUCGGAUCGCAGGCUGAAACCCGCCUGCGUGAAGUUGGAAUCGCUAGUAAUCGCGGAUCAGCAUGCCGCGGUGAAUACGUUCCCGGGCCUUGUACACACCGCCCGUCACACCAUGAGAGUCGGGAACACCCGAAGUCCGUAGUCUAACCGCAAGGGGGCGCGGCCGAAGGUGGGUUCGAUAAUUGGGGUGAAGUCGUAACAAGGUACC